UGAACGCUGGCGGCGUGCCUAAUACAUGCAAGUCGAGCGAACAGAUAAGGAGCUUGCUCCUUUGACGUUAGCGGCGGACGGGUGAGUAACGCGUGGGUAACCUACCUAUAAGACUGGAAUAACUCCGGGAAACCGGGGCUAAUGCCGGAUAACAUUUAGAACCGCAUGGUUCUAAAGUGAAAGAUGGUUUUGCUAUCACUUAUAGAUGGACCCGCGCCGUAUUAGCUAGUUGGUAAGGUAACGGCUUACCAAGGCAACGAUACGUAGCCGACCUGAGAGGGUGAUCGGCCACACUGGAACUGAGACACGGUCCAGACUCCUACGGGAGGCAGCAGUAGGGAAUCUUCCGCAAUGGGCGAAAGCCUGACGGAGCAACGCCGCGUGAGUGAUGAAGGUCUUCGGAUCGUAAAACUCUGUUAUUAGGGAAGAACAAAUGUGUAAGUAACUGUGCACGUCUUGACGGUACCUAAUCAGAAAGCCACGGCUAACUACGUG
rnacentral:rRNA from 1 species